rnacentral:misc_RNA from 1 species
GAUGAAGAACGUAGCGAAAUGCGAUAAGUAAUGUGAAUUGCAGAAUUCAGUGAAUCAUCGAAUCUUUGAACGCACAUUGCGCCCGCCAGUAUUCUGGCGGGCAUGCCUGUUCGAGCGUCAUUUCAACCAUCAAGCCCCAGGCUUGUGUUGGGGACCUGCGGCUGCCGCAGGCCCUGAAAACCAGUGGCGGGCUCGCUGUCACACCGGGCGUAGUAGAUUUUAUCUCGCUCAGGGCGUGCUGCGGGUCACGGCCGUUAAAAGCCUUUUUUUACCCAAGGUUGACCUCGGAUCAGGUAGGAAGACCCGCUGAACUUAAGCAUAUCAAUAAGCGGAGGA